rnacentral:rRNA from 1 species
GAUUAACGCUGGCGGCGUGCAUAACACAUGCAAGUCGAACGAUGAAACUCAGUAGAUUUCUUCUGAAUGAAGAUGAAUGGAUUAGUGGCGAACGGGGUAGUAACGCGUGAGUAACCUGCCUUACACAAGGGGAUAGCCUCUGGAAACGGAAAAUAAUACCCUAUGAAACCAGACAAUCGCAUGAUAAUCUGGUCAAAAUGGUUGGUGGUGUAAGAUGGACUUUCGUCGGAUUAGCUAGUUGGUGAGAUAAAAGCUCACCAAGGCAACGAUCAGGAGCCGGCUGGGGAGGGUGUACGGCCACAUGGGGAAUGAGGCAGGGCCCAGACGCCUACGGGAGGCAGCAGUGGGGAAUUGUGGACGAUGGGGGAAACCAGGAUGCAGCGACGCCGGGUGAUUUAGAAGGCCUUGGGGUUGUAAAAAUCUUUUGUAUAGGAGGAAAAUGACAGAACUAUACGAAUAAGGCCCGGCUAAUUACGU